CCAAUAGCGUAUAUUAAAGUUGUUGCAGUUAAAAAGCUCGUAGUUGAAUUUCGGGGUCAGUAGGUCGGUCGUGCCACUGGUAUGAACUGGUUUCACUGAUUCCUCCCUCUUGUAGAACCGUGAUGCCAUUAAUUUGGUGUUGCGGGGAAACAGGACUGUUACUUUGAAAAAAUUAGAGUGUUUAAAGCAAGCUAACGCUUGAAUACAUUAGCAUGGAAUAAUGAAAUAGGACGUCGAUCUUAUUUUGUUGGUUUCUAGGGUUGACGUAAUGAUUAAUAGGGAUAGUUGGGGGCAUUAGUAUUCAAUUGUCAGAGGUGAAAUUCUUGGAUUUAUUGAAGACUAACUACUGCGAAAGCAUUUGCCAAGGAUGUUUUCAUUAAUCAAGAACGAAAGUUAGGGGAUCGAAGACGAUCAGAUACCGUCGUAGUCUUAACCAUAAACUAUGCCGACUAGGGAUCGGAUGAUGUUAAUUUUUUAAUGACUCAUUCGGCGCCUUACG
rnacentral:rRNA from 2 species